UUGGCUCUCGCAUCGAUGAAGAACGCAGCGAAAUGCGAUAAGUAAUGUGAAUUGCAGAAUUCAGUGAAUCAUCGAAUCUUUGAACGCACCUUGCGCUCCUUGGUAUUCCGAGGAGCAUGCCUGUUUGAGUGUCAUUAAAUUCUCAACCUUCAUUAGC
rnacentral:rRNA from 1 species